GAGGGUGAAAAGGUGCGGUAAGAGCGCACCGCGGAGGCGGCAACGCUGACGGCAAGUUAAACCCCAUCCGGAGCAAGACCAAAUAGGGAAGCAUUGGCGUGGCUCGCGCCGCUUCCGGGUAGGUUGCUGGAGCCGUCAGGUAACUGGCGGCCUAGAGGAAUGACUGUCCUAGACAGAACCCGGCUUACAGAUCAACUUCCCCC
rnacentral:RNase_P_RNA from 1 species